rfam:Oryctes borbonicus contig1079, whole genome shotgun sequence.
GACUCGUUAGCUCAGUGGUAAGAGCGUCGCACUAGCAUUGCUGAAGUGAAGGACGGAAGGUUCGAUUCCUCCACGGGUCA